GACAAAGGGAGUAUAAGUUUCCAUGUCCAACUUUGAUCUUUCGUCUUAUUUGAAAUUUUUCUAUAAUUAGCAUACUUAUUGUUAUUAGAUGAUAAAAUAUGAGUAAUACUUUAUGCAUGACUUCUGUUUUUAAUUUUUUUUUAAAAAUAAAACUAACGAUUAAAAUUAGUCAUGUAAAUACGCAUGGAUA
rnacentral:pre_miRNA from 1 species